GCAGCGAAGGACAACCUGCCUGCAGUAGUGUAGUCUGUGUGGCUAUUGACUAUGGUGUAGUGUAGUUGACUUUACGGCGACAGCCAAGUUACUCCUGAGGCGCUUGAUACAAGCGCCCACCCUGUCUUAAAAGGGUUUAGGUACUGGAACUAACUAACUAGUCGCCGCAGUGAUCAUGGCAACUUCUUGCAAUUAUGGUCGUACCAACCGUACUGGCAAGGUUACAGGGCCUAAAUUUAUACAGGUACAACUCUCCUAUGUACUCUGGCUGGAGGAGUUGGCAUCAGAAAUGCGUAAAAUAGCCCUUGAGGAAAACAUCAAAGAGUACCAACCAAGCUUCAUCGAGAAAGGAUUCAAGCACACGCUUAGUCGAAUGAAGUGAUGCUCCCAAAGAAACAGCUACGAAGCAUUCCCUUCCUUCUCCUCUUCGUUUUCGCCCUCCCCCUCGUAACCAGCUGCAAUCCCCUUCUUCCCCACGGCUAUGUCUGCCACCGCAGUCUUCCCCAGCUCUGGAUCGAGUCCUUGCCAAGUCCGUCGCAUUAGAAUACCAUCCAACGUACCCGCAGCACCCGUAUGUAGGGAUGGAACGGCUACUGUUCCCACCUUCGUAGCGACGGUCAUUUCGACGAGCCGUUCCGAUUUUUCCUCGAUGCCGAGCUUCCGAAUACUUCCCGUCGCAAGCGACACGUCGUACCUCGUUCCUUCAGAUGCUUUUUGCUCGACGUAGAGGUCGCCACCUUUUGAACGACAACAGUGAAUGUAAAACUUACCCGCUUGUGCAUAAAUAUCACCUACCGGGCAAUA